rnacentral:rRNA from 1 species
AACGAACGCUGGCGGCAUGCCUAACACAUGCAAGUCGAACGAGAACUUCGGGUCUAGUGGCGCACGGGUGCGUAACGCGGGGGAACCUGCCCUUAGGUUCGGAAUAACUCCCCGAAAGGGGUGCUAAUACCGGAUAAUGUCUUCGGACCAAAGAUUUAUCGCCUUUGGAUGGGCCCGCGUUGGAUUAGCUAGUUGGUAGGGUAAAAGCCUACCAAGGCGACGAUCCAUAGCUGGUCGGAGAGGAUGAUCAGCCACACUGGGACUGAGACCCGGCCCAGACUCCUACGGGAGGCAGCAGUGGGGAAUAUUGGACACUGGGCGAAAGCCUGAUCCAGCAAUGCCGCGUGAGUGAUGAAGGCCUUAGGGUUGUAAAGCUCUUUUACCCGGGAUGAUAAUGACAGUACCGGGAGAAUAAGCUCCGGCUAACUCCGUG